CCGGGAGGGGGGCUGCAGGCCGCGGGCCGUGUCUGACCUGAAUUCUUACACUUACAGGAAAUUAGAGCCCUUGGAAGCAGCCACCUAUGGGCGACGAGGUCUCCAGGGAAACUCCAGAACAUUCUGUGGGUUUUGGUGGUUACCUGCUGAGGCGGCGGUGGGCGUAGAGCAUCCGAGGGUCCAAGGCUCAGCAAACAGGACCCUCCAGCCCGCCCAGGUGCAAGAUCCUGCUGGGCCUGGGUGAGGUGAGAUGCACAAGUGCCAGCUCCAAUCUGCCCUUGCCAAAUGCUGUUCCAAAUUGGCUCCGUGAAACCAGAACCGCAAAAUCCCGUCAGGACAGCUGGAGGUAAGCACAGCGGUGGAAGGAUUUAGACCACGUCAAAACGGCUCGUGUACAAGAGGGUGAGAAAACCUGUGGACUCCUGGGCAAAGGCACCAUCGGGAACAUUAAGAAAGCAAUCCCACCUCAAACCCACAACCAAAAUAUUUUAUAAGAACUCUCCCUUUUCCCCCCACUCUCUUUUGUCAAGUAAAGGAUACACACGGCCUUUCUACUUGUAACCUGGCCAAGAAUAAUUUGUGGCAGGAAAGUUUGAGCAUUUGUCAAAAUAAAAUAAAAAUGUAAAAAAAAAAAAAUUGCGAGCACUGGAGUGUACAUUUGUGUGAAACUAAACAGAGGGAAGGUUAUU
rnacentral:lncRNA from 1 species